UGCAGCCAGACGUGCCCGUAGUUGCUCAUCGGGGGUUCUCCCCCGCGUACUCUUCUAUGGGCAGGCCAGCAUCAGUCCGGGCGGUUGGAGAAAGACCUGUGUCAUGUAGCUGUUUUCGGGCAGUGUUAUAGGGCAGGUGGAAUGCAACCAGCCUGGACUGAGGUCCGCGCAUCUGCUAGGAUGCUGGCGUAAUGGCUGUAAGCGGCCCGUCUUGAAACACGGACCAAGGAGUCUAACAUCUAUGCGAGUGUUUGGGUGUCAAGCCCGAGCGCGUAAUGAAAGUGAACGGAGGUGGGAACCUUUUAGGUGCACCAUCGACCGAUCCUGAUGUCUUCGGAUGGAUUUGAGUAAGAGCAUAGCUGUUGGGACCCGAAAGAUGGUGAACUAUGCCUGAAUAGGGUGAAGCCAGAGGAAACUCUGGUGGAGGCUCGCAGCGGUUCUGACGUGCAAAUCGAUCGUCAAAUUUGGGCAUAGGGGCGAAAGACUAAUCGAACUAUCUAGUAGCUGGUUCCUGCCGAAGUUUCCCUCAGGAUAGCAGUAACGUUUUCAGUUUUAUGAGGUAAAGCGAAUGAUUAGAGGCCUGGGGGUUGAAACAACCUUCACCUAUUCUCAAACUUUAAAUAUGUAAGAAGUCCUUGUUUCUUAAUUGAACGUGGACAUUUGAAUGUAUCGUUACUAGUGGGCCAUUUUUGGUAAGCAGAACUGGCGAUGCGGGAUGAACCGAACGCGGGGUUAAGGUGCCAGAAUGCACGCUCAUCAGACACCACAAAAGGUGUUAGUUCAUCUAG
rnacentral:rRNA from 1 species